rnacentral:rRNA from 1 species
GACGAACGCUGGCGGCGUGCUUAACACAUGCCAGUCGAACGGAAAGGCCCUGCUUUUGUGGGGUGCUCGAGUGGCGAACGGGUGAGUAACACGUGAGUAACCUGCCCUUGACUUUGGGAUAACUUCAGGAAACUGGGGCUAAUACCGGAUAGGAGCUCCUGCUGCAUGGUGGGGGUUGGAAAGUUUCGGCGGCUGGGGAUGGACUCGCGGCUUAUCAGCUUGUUGGUGGGGUAGUGGCUUACCAAGGCUUUGACGGGUAGCCGGCCUGAGAGGGUGACCGGCCACAUUGGGACUGAGAUACGGCCCAGACUCCUACGAGAGGCAGCAGUGGGGAAUACUGCACAAUGGGCGGAAGCCUGAUGCAGCAACGCCGCGUGCGGGAUGACGGCCUUCGGGUUGUAAACCGCUUUCGCCUGUGACGAAGCGUGAGUGACGGUAAUGGGUAAAGAAGCACCGGCUAACUACGUG